GGGCUGGGGUAAGGGUCAUCUUGAAGUCUUCUUCACUCACAUGUCUGGUGCUUGGGCUGGGAGAACUCAAACAGCUGGGGCUUCUCUGACAUCUCUCUCUCCAUGUGGUCUCUCCACUUGAGCUCUCAACAUGAGGUCUCAGGGACACUAGACUUCUCACCUAGCAACUGACAAGUGUCCCAAGAGAAGCUGCAAACAGGAACAGCAUUUGUUUUUAUAAACCUGGCCUUGGAAGUCAUUUAGCCUUGCUUCCAUUGCAAAGACCUGACCAGGUUAAAGGGAAAAAAUAUAAUCCAUCUCUUGAUGGGAGAGGUGUCAAAAAAUUUGUGGCAUAUUUUAAAACCACCACCUUGUUCUGACCCAGCAAACCUGGAGCAUGUAGCAUCUUAGAAGAUGUCUGGGUUUGAGUACUAAGGGCUGCAAGCUGGGAGAACAUAGCAUCUUGACUCCUUGAAGGACGAAACCAGUCUGCACAGUGACCUGGGACCUGAAGGCUUCGCAGCAGAGUGGACCGGAGUCAGGCCUGAAGAGUGAAGAGCCAGCUUCUCCAUAGUGACUCCAUGUGACAGAGACUGGGAACAGCAGGAGUGAGAUGACUGGACUCCCAGUUCAGAGGUCUAUGUGAGGGUUCCUGGUUGCAGACCACAGAAGCCAACCUAAUUGGUUUAACGAAAAAAAGAUGUUUUCAAAGAUGUUAUGCAGUUCACCGAAUCUCCAGGAAAGCCAGAGAGUUGGCUAUGCAUCUGGGCAUAAUGCUCAAAGACUACUAUAGGACUGCUUAUAAAGACCCCACUACCAGGAGCUUGGGUCCCAGGCUCCAUUUACAGCUUGCACUGAGGCUUGGCACUGGAUGCUACUGCUUGACCCUCUGCCACUACUGCUUCUUUGAGUUAGUAUGGCCUUUCCUAAAGGUGGUCAACAGAGCUCAUGAGAUGUGGAAUGCUGCCAUCAUCUUAUAUUUAACCAUGGCCUCAGAGUUCACUAUCCUAUGAGGAAAACUAAAUUAUAAAGCUGCACUUUGCCAGGUAUGGAUGGAGAGAAAAACUCAAGGGAGACUCAUAAAUCAGCCUGAAGUGUCAAAGAAGGCUUCCCCAGAGAGACUCCAGAAACCCCACCUCUCUCCCACCAUGUGAGGGUCAGUCGUGUACAAACUGGAUGACAGCCUUCUCCAGGACCUAACGACUCUGGUGCCCUGAUCUUCAACUUCCAGCCUUAAGAACUGUGAGAAAUAAACUCCUGUUGUUUAUAAAUCACCCAAUCAGUGGUAUUUUGUUACAGCGGCCCAAACAGUCUAAAAUACUGAUCACAUUUGCCUAAUAGACCUCCCCAAAUGGAGAACCAUUAUCUUCAAUAAAUCAUAGAACCAGCCCAUCCUUGCAGAUCUGGUGCAGUCAUCGCUUUUCUUUCACUUUGUUCCAGGGUUGAAAGCUAUUCACACCAUUAAUUUUUAAUUUUUUUAAAAGCAGAGGCUGAAAACUAGCACUUAUUUCCCCUUCUUGCGAGUUCUUUUUAGAAAGCAAUGUAUCAGCCUUAUCACUGGGCAGAUUGAUCAUUACAUCUGGAAGGGUUUCACCACUCCGUAUUAUUUUCAUCACAAUAACAUUGCUCAGGCCAUUUGAUGAGACAUUGGGAAAGACUAGAAAAUAGAAACUGCCCUUGAUCAUUUGCAUUUUGUUGAUGUUUUGUUAUUUCAGGUAACACAGGACUCUACUUUCCACACAUUCUGAGUUAAUAUGUUACAUUAAAGCCAAUAAAUUUUGCAUUCUUACUCAUUAA